GAUCAGCCACACUGGGACUGACACACGGACCAGACUCCUACGGGAGGCAGCAGUAAGGAAUAUUGGUCAAUGGGCGCAAGCCUGAACCAGCCAUGCCGCGUGCAGGAAGACGGCCCUAUGGGUUGUAAACUGCUUUUGUCAGGGAAUAAACCCCCGCUCGUGAGCGGGGCUGAAGGUACCUGAAGAAUAAGCAUCGGCUAACUCCGUGCCAGCAGCCGCGGUAAUACGGAGGAUGCAAGCGUUAUCCGGAUUCAUUGGGUUUAAAGGGUGCGCAGGCGGAUUGGUAAGUCAGGGGUGAAAUCCCACAGCUCAACUGUGGAACUGCCUUUGAUACUGUCAGUCUAGAGUAUAGUUGAAGUUGGUGGAAUGUGUCAUGUAGCGGUGAAAUGCUUAGAUAUGACACAGAACACCGAUCGCGAAGGCAGCUAGCUAAGCUAUAACUGACGCUCAUGCACGAAAGCGUGGGGAUCAAACAGGAUUAGAUACCCUGGUAGUCCACGCUGUAAACGAUGAUUACUCGAUGUUGGCGAUACACAGUCAGCGUCUGAGCGAAAGCAAUAAGUAAUCCACCUGGGGAGUACGAUCGCAAGAUUGAAACUCAAAGGAAUUGACGGGGGCCCGCACAAGCGGAGGAGCAUGUGGUUUAAUUCGAUGAUACGCGAGGAACCUUACCUGGGCUCGAACGUAAGAUGACUGUAGGUGAAAGCUUACAUCUCUUCGGAGCAUUUUACGAGGUGCUGCAUGGUUGUCGUCAGCUCGUGCCGUGAGGUGUCGGGUUAAGUCCCAUAACGAGCGCAACCCCUACCUUUAGUUGCCAUCAGUCAUGCUGGGGACUCUAAAGAUACUGCCCC
rnacentral:rRNA from 1 species